rnacentral:rRNA from 1 species
ACGGGACUGGGGGCAACUCCAGUUCAGUGGCGGACUUGUUCGCAACACGUGAGGAACAAGAAUUUCGGCGGGGGAUAGCCGGCCCAACGGCCGGGUAAUACCGCGUACGACCAUUCGGGGACAUCCCCGGUUGGUGAAAGCAGCAAUGCGCCGAAAGAGUGCCUCGCGGCCUAUCAGCUAGUUGGUGGGGUAACGGCUCACCAAGGCGACGACGGGUAGCUGGUCUGAGAGGAUGGUCAGCCACAUUGGGACUGAGACACGGCCCAGACUCCUACGGGAGGCAGCAGUGGG